CCUAGGAACAUCUGCCAACGGGGGCGGCCACCCCCCCCCCAAAAAAAAAUAUAUAUAUAUUAUGUUAACAUUGAGUAGGUUUAAGUCNAAUAUAUAUAUAUAAAAUGUUAACAUUGAGUAGGUUUAAGGUUAUUAUUUUAAUAACUUUAUAAAUAAAAAUUUUAGAUUUUCUCAGCUUUAAUUUCUAAUUAGGUGUGGAGUUCCCACUGUGGAGCAACAGGAUCAGCAGCAUCUCUGAAGCGCAGAGAUGCAGGUUUGAUCUCCAGUCCUGCACAGUGGGUCAAAGAUCCAGCAUUGCCACAACUGGGGCAUAAGUCUCAACUGGGGCUCAGCUCUGAUCACUGGCCCAGGAACUCCAUAUGCAUCGGGGCAGCCAAAAAAGAAGAAAAAAAAAGUGUCUAAUAUGGUAAUAGGAAUAGAUACAACCCAUGUAAACAAAAGUUUUUUGGGGUCUUCAAUAAUUUCGAAGAGUGUAAGGGGUCCUGAGACCAAANCGCCACGAACCGACCCGCCACGGGUCACCACGCCCNCGCCAAACCGACCCGCCACGGGUCACCACGCCCUGGAGAGGCCGAAAAGCCUUACUUUUAGGACAGGGAAGCUGAGACAAAGUGGGGCGAUCAAAGAACUGGAAUUUGAACUGCGUCUGAGUGACUCGGAAGCCCCGGACGAGUGGCGCCCCCGAGCCGGCAAAACUCCACCUCGAUGGGCGUCCGAGUUGAUGCAAGCGGCCUUUCGUCGAAGGACCGGUGCCGGUUGCACUGCGCUUCCCUUCUCCCGCCCUGGUCACCACUCAGGGCGGUGGGAGCCGGUGCAGGCAACGCGCUUUGAUCGCGGAGCGCACCCUGCCGGAGGGCUGCAAUCUUGCUCGCUCGCUUCCCUCCCCAUCCCCCAGUCUGUCUGGGACCACUCCACUUCUCCUUCUCGGUAGGUAAGUGGAGUUCUCUCUAUGCCUUAAAGAACAACAAAACCCCUGUGCCCNUCUCGGUAGGCAAGUGGAGUUCCCUCUGUACCUUAAAGAACAACAAAACCCCUGUGCCCAUCGCUUUCUUUCCGUUUGAAAAUGUCUCCCCUUGUCCAGGAACCCCACUGUCUCCCCCGCAGUUUACAAGCGGGUUCUCCAAGCUCGGUCUUUGCCCUGCCUACAUGCUACUCCGCCACCGGCACUCUUGCUCCACUGUUCUAGCAAAAGACGCCGGGAGGAAAGCGGGUUGAAUCCCGGUAGCAGACCUAUACAGCUACUUAAUGCCUCUGAGUAUGGAGGGGUCUGAUGAAUUUCAAAUGAAAUUAGCACUCGCCAAACCCUUUUCAAACCCCGUGUUUGGUGCUGGGAAGCUUCCUGUGGUUCAUCUCAACUGUAUUGUAUUUCACAACGCCCCAGCUUAAGUCGCAAACAGAACAUUGGCAUUCAAAAUGAUUGCGAAAGAGGAGUUCCCGUCGUGGCUCAGUGGUUAACAAAUCCGACAAGGAACCAUGAGGUUUCGGGAUCGAUCCUGGCCCCGUUUAGCCGGUUAAGGAUCCGGCGCUCGGUGAGCUGCGGUGUAGGAUCACAGAUGCGGCCGGGAUCCCACGUUGCUGUGGCCCCGCCGGCGGCUACAGCUCGGAUUCGACCCCUAGCCUGGGAACCUGCAUAUGUCGUGGGUGCGGCCCUAGAAAAGAAAAAAGGAUUGCAAAGGAGUUCUCUUGUGGCUCAGCAGAAACGAACCCAACUAGCAUCCAUGAGGAUGCGCGUUCAAUGCCUGACCUCGCCCAGGGGGUUAAGGAUCUGGGGUUGCCAGUGAGCUGUGAUUUAGACUCCCGCUGUGUGUGUGUGUGUGUGUGUGUGUGUGUGUGUGGUGCAGACCAGCUUCCAUAUGCUGCGUGCGUGCACACACACACACACACACACACAAACAAAAUGCUUGUAAAAUGACCAGUUUUUUUUUCAUGUAUACAGUAUGUACUUUACCCUGCUAGGUCCCCAAAAGGAAUUUAAGCCAAAGACACAUAAAAUGGAACACAGUGUAGGGAGUUCCCAUCCUGGCUCAGAGCUAAAGAAUCCCACCAGUAUCCAUGAGGAUGCAAGUUCAAACCCUGACCUCUCUCAGAUCUGGCAGUACCAUGAGCUGUGGUGUAGGUCCCAGAUCCGGCUCAUAUCCCAUGUUGCUGUGGCUGUGGUGUAGGCCGGUAGCUGUAGCUCCGAUUGAACCCCCAGCCUAGGACCUUCCAUAUGCCACAGGUGCAGCCUUAAAAAAGCAAAAAAAAAAAAAAAAAAAAAAAGGCAAAAAAAAGGCAGAAGGCCAUGUAAAUAAAAGAAAAAUCAAUCAAACCA
ensembl:lncRNA